UAGUACUCUUUCUCCUUAAGGGUAUCACGACCAUUCUUCGCCUCUCUCUUUGCUAGCUUGCUUUUUCCUUUGCUGUUGUUCGCUCACUUUUCUGGUAUUUAGCGAAAUAAUUCGCAUGCCAGACUGUACGCAACGCAGACCCCGUCGACCGAAGAUCGCAUUUACUCGUAACUCAGCGGCAAACACGAAAGUGUUCAGUUGUGAUCGGAAUUAUUAAUUAAUAUUCUUGCACCUUCCGAAACUGUGUCGGGAAUCAGGCCAUAAACUAGUGCACAAUCGAUGGGAUGGGAGUACGAUGAGCGAUGGAUGAGUAGGGGACCGACCGCGACCGCGAACGAGGACAGUCCCCAGGUCCAUGUUAACGUCCAUGUCCAAUAUGGCAGGCAGGUCCGCAGUCAUGACCGUGACACAGGAGAAAAAAGCAAGAGAUGAUGGAAGCGGGGAACGGGAGGAGUAGGUGAAGUGGGUAUAGGAAGAAGGAGUAGCACAAGCAGCAAAAAACAAAAGAUAAACAAACAGAAAUGAGAUCGACCACAAGAGCUUCUGUAAAAAAGAGCGUCGCCCUAACUGUUAAAAACAACAAGUCAAGGGCUUCCCAUAUGCGCCCGCAUCUCUUUAAAAAGUCUUGCUCUGAAUCAAUAUGCACGAAUUUAAGGUGAGCUCCCCGUCCCGUUUUAAGAAGGCGCUCUCCCAAAAUCCGCAGAUUUCGUUUUAGCUCUGUUUAGUCAUAGACAUUCUAAGAGAGAGAGAGAGGCGGACACAACAAGCAUCACCUAAUGCAUAAUGUGACAAAAGUGUUGGUGCGCUCCCGAAACGCACCGCUACAAAGAGAGUAGCAUCAGUUAGCAUCGCAGCUAAAAGUGGAGAGAGCGAAAAUGUAAGCAGAAUGGCGGAAGAAGUGACGCUGAAAUGAACUAAUUUUCAUAAAAAAUAACAAAACAAUGUGGAAAGUGCUUGAAAGUAUUCCAAAUCAUUAAUACAGUGUUAGAGAUGUUACAAAGUAAUCCACACAUCCCCUAACAGAUGGAAGAGCGGCACUGUUGAUAUGAAGAGAUGGUACAAUGCUAGUGGGCGCUUAAGAGAAAAAACUUACGCUUGCCGAAUUUGCAUUUUCCGAAUCAAUUGUCAUUGCCAAAGAUGGAAAACCUUCGCAUUUGUCACUGGAAAACGAAGAUUGCUAUCGAACUGAAGCCCAAGGCAUAGUUACAAAAGG